rnacentral:rRNA from 1 species
UACGUAGGGUGCGAGCGUUUGUCCGGAAUUACUGGGCGUAAAGAGCUCGUAGGUGGUUUGUCGCGUUUGUCCGUGAAAACUCACAGCUCAACUGUGGGCGUGCGGGCGAUACGGGCAGACUGGAGUACUGCAGGGGAGACUGGAAUUCCUGGUGUAGCGGUGGAAUGCGCAGAUAUCAGGAGGAACACCGGUGGCGAAGGCGCCACUCUGGGCCGAAACUGACGCUGAGGAGCGAAAGCGUGGGUAGCAAACAGG